rnacentral:rRNA from 1 species
GACGAACGCUGGCGGCGCGCUUUAUACAUGCAAGUCGAACGUGAAGCUCGGAGCUUGCUCCGGGUGGAAAGUGGCGAACGGGUGAGUAUCACGUGAGAAACCUGCCCCGAAGACCGGGAUAACACCGGGAAACCGGUGCUAAUACCGGAUGCCCUCACCGGAUCGCAUGGUCUGGUGAGGAAAUGGAUUCCGCUUCGGGAUGGUCUCGCGGCCUAUCAGCUUGUUGGUGGGGUAANGGCCCACCAAGGCUUCGACGGGUAGCUGGUCUGAGAGGAUGUCCAGCCACACUGGGACUGAGACACGGCCCAGACUCCUACGGGAGGCAGCAGUAGGGAAUCUUGCACAAUGGACGAAAGUCUGAUGCAGCGACGCCGCGUGUGGGAUGACUGCCCCGU